rnacentral:sRNA from 1 species
GUAAAUGCUCAUCCUGCUUCUUGUGAUAGCUUUAAGCUUCAUAAACUAUAAACUAUAAACUAUUGGAUGACGCAGAGCCAAUUUGAUGUGCCUAUUGUCCACGUUAUCGAUGCAUAAAUAUCCAUCACCAACCGGACGCAACGUUGAGUGAGGCACAAUCCGUCUGUAGAACAGAUUGUAUUUUGACACCUAUCAAAAGAUAGGUGUUUUUUG